rnacentral:lncRNA from 12 species
CCAUGGGAGAAAUUCUAGUAAAGGUCACUGGCCUAAUCAUAAAGUGCCUUUAAAAGUUUUAUGAUCCUUUAAUGGAGUGCAAUGUGCUAAUUCCUCCUGGAAAAGCUCUAGCUCUGGAACAAAGCCUUUUGAAGGAACACAACUUUGGUACAGCCAUUUUUUUCCCCAGGUUUGCAUGUGGCACCAUGUUGGCAGUGACCAGUCAAAAUGCUUCUAUCAUUUGGAAAAAAUGUGAUGCACAAAUGAAACAAGAAAAAAGUAAUAGAUAUAAAAUUUUACCUCUGUGGAUCAUGAUUUGAACAAGGCAAACUCACAUAAAGGGGAAAAAAAAAAAAACAAACCUGAAAUGCAUUUGACAUUCAAGAAAAUUAUAUUCAAUUAUCUCCACUUUAUUUGUGAAAUAACUGGCUUUUUCCAGUGUACCAUAGUGAUUAAAUUUCAACAAGCCCUUAGUUUUUCCUGGCUGAUGGAGGCUGGUGGGAAUAUCAGACUGGAAAAGCGGUGAUUAAAUUUCAACAAGCCCUUAAUUUUUCCUGGCUGAUGGAGGUGGUGGGAAUAUCAGACUGGAAAAGCUGUCGUGUUCUCUCCUUGCCUCCUCUUCUCUGCUGAUAUUUUCCCAUGCAAAUUCAUCUUCAAUAACUACUUCAAAAUUAUUAAUGGACAUCAUAAGUUAAAUGGUGGGUGUGACUGAAUUUGUCAGAACUGAGCAUUUACAAAGCCUACUUUUUAAAAACUGCUUUGUCUUCAGGCCAGGACCCUGUGCCUUUUACUGUCUGGUGCAAACCUUCCGAAUUGUUGCCGCCGAUGUACCGAGUUUUGAAAGAAAUGCAUUUCAAAGGCCUGAAUAAACAUUAUGUGCGUGGCCUUUCCAUGUUGCUGACUCUGCAGUGGAGUCUGCUGUUAUUUCCUGAGAGUGAGGUGGGAUUGUGGACAUUUGGGGGGUGUCAGGAAAGCUCCGGGCUGUGCAUCCUGUGUCGCAGCCCAUUAAUCAGCUGGGGAGCGGAGUGGAACCUCACCUGCUUCCUCCUCCACUUCCUUCUGCAGGGAGCUGCUGCUCCUACUCAGUGCCUCCCAACAAGCCUCGGGAAUCUGCAUUUCAAGUCCUGCCAAAGGGGAGUGCAGCAGUGUUUGACAGUGGCAGCGGAUAUGGGGAAGGUACCUGAUGGAUGAGGAUGGCAUGGGUGUCAUGCUGUGCAUAACACAAGCACCAAAAGGUCAGCACUGCUAAACUGAUUGUUUGUCUUUCACUGGGUGACAGCAUUAUUCUGCAAUUCUGAGG